UCCUGGUUUUCUUCACGAGGAUGAAGUACUCUGGAAUGGCAGAGCAGAAGGAAAGCACAUCUUCUAACCACUCUGAUUAUCCCCUGCUGCUGCUUGGCAUCCACACAUGCUGCAAGAGAAAAGCCAGACCUGGAAGCAAUCUGCUGAGAGUUUCAAAUUCUCUCUGUUCCUCUCUUCCAGUCCAUUAGGCCAGAAAGGGAAUGGCAGUCAACAAGUUUUUCAUCUAUCACAUCUCUUCUUUGAUUGAAGAUUAAACUGGCAAUGAUGGGGAGAGAUCCUUGGGACAGGUAUCCCCUGGAGGUUUGUCUUCAUACAGCUUCAAGUGCUGCUGUGGAAUUGUGCCACUUCGUGCACUCACAGUUGAGCAGAGGCAGAGCCUGUGGAAACGAGCAGUCCCCAAACAUCAGUCAGGUGUGUGCAGGAAGCAGGAGAUGGUGUGACUGCAGGCACAGAAAGGAAGCUACAGAGGCGAUGCAAAAAUUGGGAAGACUCCUUGCUCUGUGUAUGCGCAAGAGAGAGGAUGCCCUUGGUCAUACUGAGUGGCUUUGUCUGCAUGAGAGAGCUCCCAGAUAAGGAGAGCUGUGUGCAGGAAACAGAAGCUGCAGGACCAGUGUUCCGUUAGCCAUGAAAGUCCUCAGCACAAUGAUUUGAUGAGGCCGUGAUCUCGGAGAGUUAGAAAAUGAGAUGGGUUCUUUGGAUGGAUCAGGAGGAAAUGCUGAAUUGUAAAGGGCAGGUUUGUGUGGCCACCUGCCUCGGAGCGGAAGGAAGGCUGCCCUCCCCCUGGAUCUGACCACUGACAUUAGGCAUGCGGGGCUGCACGACCCAGCAGAGAGACCUCAUCCACCAGCAGGGAAGUAACAAGCCCUCUUGGUCAGAUGCUGUUGCUCUCUGGACUUCUGCCUUUCUAGGUGGGACAGUGUGGCCUCUUUAACCCCAUCACUGGAUCAGUGCUCCCAAAUUAGUGUAAUCAUCCCACUCAAAUUAAGUGAGCAGCUCCUGACUCCUGGCUCUGCAGCCCAGCCCUGGGCAUCCCCUCUCAGCCUGGCGCCCACAUCCCCCUCUUCCUCCCUCUCCCCCGAAGCCCCCUGCUUGUGGGCUCCUUGAUAUUUUCCAGUCCUUCCCUAAUGAGCACUGCAGAAUUACAGCUAAUUAAGGAUGUAAAUGAUGCUGGAGAGAGAGGGAGAGGGAGAGGAUGGGAAGGGGCGGGGGGAGGGCAGCUACUUGCUGUGUGCAACUCUGCAGUAAAGUGUCUCCUACCUCAGCAGAAAAGUUAUCAUGGGAGACAAUGUCAACUUUAUGGAGGGGGGAGGGCCCUCUCAGUGCCUCUGUCCCCGCCUGUAAUAGCUGCUGCCUCUCUUUUAUGUGUCAGCGCUGCAGAUGCUGAUGUCCUCCCUCCCAAAUGCUGCUUUGUCAGCUGGCGCUGUCACACAGCCCUGGGUCUCUCUGCCUCUCACUGCCAUCCUCACCGUGCCAGGGCACCCAGGGGCCUGUCUCCUUCCUUGCAAGGAGUUUGCCUCUCUUCCUGCCUACAUGUCCUCCUCCACCCAUGGUUUGGAGAGGAUCCGGGACUGGUCCUACUCCAUGAAGGAAUGUUUGUGCUGUGACACAGGCAGGAGCAGGCCGUGAUGGGGACAUCCACCAGACACAGCGCUGCAGAAGGACUUCGGCUGCUGCACCACCAGGAACACAGCUCAGCUGGGUCCUCUGAGAGCAUUUGGAAGCGCUUCGGGUCCUGUUGCCGUAUUUUUCUGCACAUUGCCUGGAUCAGUGGGUUGUGAAAGCACGUUUGUCCCAGUGCUGCGUCUCGUCCAUCCGUCCGUCCAACGGAGGACCACACAUUGUUGGGUCAAGAGCGGGCAGCAAUGGGCGACAACAGCGGUGGUGGUUUUUGUUGUUGUUUCCCCAGAUCGCUGUGCAAUAUAUUCCAAUUUUUUUUCUUGUCAUUAAGCCAGUGCCUCGGAGAUGAUGAUGUAGUCCCUAUGUGGGCCGCAGAAAGCACUUCGAGCCGUGCUGGAGUCGUGCUGGGUGGCUCUGAUAGCAGAGCUAAUGGGAGCGAAUGGGAUGCAACGAACUGUUCUAAUGACACCAGCCAGGGAAGAGACAACAGUAAGAAUAAAUAAAUGUUAACUAUUUUCCUCUUCCAGACAUUUGCAUCUAUUGCCAUUAAGUUCAUUUAAAUAAGAGAGAGAGCGAGAGAGAAGGGGAAACUUACUACUACUCUUAAUAACAAGUGUCUAAAAAUAAAUUAGGAUGCUGGGAUGCACUUAAGGCAUUUUAAAAAUAAGUCUUAUUUUUCCCCCCUUCUCCUUUUUUUUUUUUUUUAAAGUGUUGGAGGGUUUUAAUUUGGGCCGAGUAAUUUUGGUGCAAACGCUUGGGCGCCUUUCGUUGGGAAAUUGGGAGGAAUGCAAACAAGAUUUCACUUCAUUAAACAGGGGCAAACAGUAGAGAAAUUGCACUUACUUAUGGAAAUGACUUUUAAACAUGAACAGCAUUUACUUGCAUUGCCUUGUGCUGAAUUUUUUUUUUUAAAAGAUUAUACAUGUGAAUAAUUCACUGCGGGCCAAUUAGAUGAUGACUUCAUUUUUAACCUCUCUUCCUUGCCAUCUUGCUGGCUGUCCCUUUCGUUGCAAUUUCCACCCUCUUCCUUCCUUUCCAUAAAUUAAUAAAGAACAAAUAAUCCCUCUUCCUGCAGUGCCAAGAGCCAGCUUCUCAGAACGGAUGUUGAAGGAGAAAACCAAGCAUGGCUGGCUGUAGAGGACUGCCCUGGGAUGAAGCAGGAAUAACUGGAUAGGAUGUCUGUAGGCAGGGUUGCACCCAUUUGUUGGGGAAAAAUGGAGAAGUGAGAAAUGAGCCUGAAGGUGUGAGAGCAUUGCACAUUAUGUAAUGCAGAGCCCAGAAGCCACUAAAUACAUAAUUACAAAAUACAGAAUUAGUUCCUUAUAAAAAAUUAGCUAGUCUACCUGUCCAGUUUCUGGGUUUCUUAUCUAGUCCUUACGUCCUGUUCCUUGGUACCAGACUAAGACCCACCCCUCAUGAAAUUUUAUCCUGCUUUCACUUGCCUUAAGAGGAAGGAGAAACUCUGGUUCCUUUCCAGUGGAAAUCUCCAUCCUCUGGCAUUGCCAAGGGAAGGCUAAAUGGAACAUCGCCCUCAGCACUUCUUUUUUCCUUGCUCAGCAGAGGUUCCUCCACUGAUGCCAGUGGAAUGAUAUUGCAAAAGAGUCCCUGCUGGUAGUUUUUGGGCCUCUUCUGUGGGGUGAGGGUUUGUGCCCUGUCAUCUCCACCUUGCAGAUGAGGAAGCUGAAGCAUGGAGUGGAGCCUUCACCAUCUUCUACAACAGUGUAUUCUCUUGCACCUUCAGCCUGUUCUCUCCAAACUGUUUCCUGGGAUACUUCAUGCUUAUUUGGUCAGCAUUUCCUUUCUCAUGAGGUCACAUUCCCAGCCCUUUCUAAGCCGUGUUUUUAUGGCUCUUAGCAGAUUACAGUUUUAGUGGGGAGGAGGUGGCUGCGAGCGAUGACCUGUGAUUUCCAGGGAAGGGGAGAACAUGUAAACUUCAAGCAGAGGGGCCUCCCGCUGGGAACAGCCCGUUUUAGAGCCCUUGUGUCAAUGAUGGCCUCCAGGGCACUUCCCCACUCUAUUUAUUUACCCGUGGGAAGCCCAGCAUGCCCCCUCCAGAACCCAGGCCAAGCAAAUCCCUCCUCCUGGCAAUGGAACAAAGGUCUUUCAGCCUGGACCUGGAAACUUCACGUGGUCUAUUUCCGAGUCAGCAUCAGUAUGUUUAGAAAGCAUCCCAGGUGAAAGGCUGUGAGGCUGUGGGACUAUCAUGUGGGGAAGUGGGAGAGCACACUGCAAGCACUGAGCAUAGGUCUCAAUGAUUGCCAGUGUAUCCAGCUUUAGCUUUCAUCUGGGUGCUGCAGGCUGCUAUGGGCCCUACAGGGUGUUCCACACAUGCAGGGCUGUUCCCAGCAGCUAUUCCCAACAAAUGCCUUUUAUCCUGGAAUAUUCACACUUGGAGUCAUUCAGCGAUGUUGCCCUGAAAAGCUUCAUGGGGAGCUAAGCCCAGAAACACCAGCUAUGAGGCAGCAUGUUAUGAGCUGAGUUGUCUCUGCAGGAGAGGCACCUGCAUCUGCUAACCACCUCUGGAAUUCAGGAAUAGGCCCCUAUGGGCUGCGCGGUGCCUCCAUUGACCUCAGUAGGCUUAGCACCAGGGACAAGUUCAGCUCCACACACUUAUUAACCUCCUUCCCCAGAAGCAUCCUCAGAGCCGGGGGCUGUGUGAGGCGGGCACCUGCAGCAGCAUGGCUUCAGCUGCAGUUCUUUGUGAUGAGAACUUCUACCUGUGCAGCACCUGGUGCCAGGAGACAGGAGUGGGUCCUGAUGACACCCAUGCCUAUGGGAGCAAUGAGUCUCAUCUGUUCUCAUGGCAAGGCCAGGCAAAGAAAGGCAAGGCAGAGUACAACAAAGAAAGGCAAGGCCAAAAAAGUCAAGGCAAAUAAAGGUAAGGGAAGGCAAGUUCUCUCUCCUCUGUGCAGUCUGGAAACCUUGGACAGAAGGGGACUUCAGAGAUUAUUGAUGUAUCUGACUCUGAAAUGAGCUUCAUUCUUCUCUUCAGCCUCCUAAUGACAGACACGGGUCUCUGGGCAGUGAAUCAACAACCACAUGUGGAAGUGAGCAAGUGCCAGACACAAAUAUUGACGUUCCUCUGACAGGCACCUCCAUGCUGGGUCUGGGUGAGGGCUGGAGCAGGCACUGGGCCCGGGCCUCCCAGUGGGAUUUCCAUCUGCCAACACAGCUGAAGGUCUCUCCUUGUUUUCUGUAUGGGCCCCACGGAGGGCUGGUGGCAGUGGUGGUGAGUUGGUGAUGUUGGAAAGAUGCUGGUGGUGCUGCCAGAUACCAUCAGCACGUGUGGGGUAAGCAGAUGCAUCUCUCCUCAUCAUUGAUGGAAACCAUGCUAUAAAAAUCUGACUGAAACGUGGCUUUUCCCACAUGAACUUUAAAAUGUUUUCAGUUUGGAAAGAGUGGAGGCAUUUCCUUAACACCACAUUUCUAUGAGAAUACACUGAGAAUUACAUAUACAUCCUCCCAUUAAAAAAUAAAACAAACCUUCACCUUUUACCUUCUUUUGACAGGCAGGAAAAAAAAUCAACUAAAAAAAUCUUCCACUUUGUAAUGUUUUA